AGUGGAUGGGGAGCAACCUAGUUGUGCGUGUGUAAAGGUAGUGCCAAGAAAAGCGAUGAUCAUGUUGAAAAUCAAUUCCCGGUACCCGAAACCGACACAGGUGGGCAAGUAGAGAAUACUAAGGGGCGCGAGGUAACUCUCUCCAAGGAACUCGGCAAAAUGACCCCGUAACUUAGGGAGAAGGGGUGCCACCGAGAGGUGGUCGCAGUGAAGAGGCCCAGGCGACUGUUUAGCAAAAACAUAGGUCUCUGCAAACUCGAAAGAGGAGGUAUAGGGGCUGACGCCUGCCCAGUGCCGGAAGGUUAAAGAAGUUGGUCAGUUUUAGGAUGAAGCUAGCGACUGAAGCCCCGGUGAACGGCGGCCGUAACUAUAACGGUCCUAAGGUAGCGAAAUUCCUUGUCGGGUAAGUUCCGACCCGCACGAAAGGCGUAACGAUCUGGGCGCUGUCUCGGAGAGAGGCUCGGCGAAAUAGGAUUGUCUGUGAAGAUACGGACUACCUGCAUUUGGACAGAAAGACCCUAUGAAGCUUUACUAUAGCUUGGAAUUGUGUUCGGGCUUCCUGUGCGCAGGAUAGGUGGGAGGCGUAGAAGGUAUUCUUGUGGGGAUACUGGAGCCAACGGUGAGAUACCACUCUCAGGAGGCUAGAAUUCUACUUAAUUAAGGACAGUUUCAGGUGGGUAGUUUGACUGGGGCGGUCGCCUCCAAAAAGGUAACGGAGGCGUACAAAGGUUCCCUCAGACUGGUUGGAAAUCUGUCGAAGAGUGCAAAGGCAGAAGGGAGCUUGACUGCGAGAAGUACAGUUCGAGCAGGGUGGAAACACGGUCUUAGUGAUCCGACGGUGCUGUGUGGAAGGGCCGUCGCUCAACGGAUAAAAGUUACUCUAAGGAUAACAGGCUGAUCUCCCCCAAGAGUUCACAUCGACGGGGAGGUUUGGCACCUCGAUGUCGGCUCAUCGCAACCUGGGGCGGAAGUACGUCCCAAGGGUUGGGCUGUUCGCCCAUUAAAGCGGUACGUGAGCUGGGUUCAGAACGUCGUGAGACAGUUCGGUCCAUAUCCGAUGUAGGCGUAGAAUAUUGAGAGGAGCCUUCCUUAGUACGAGAGGACCGGGAAGGACGCACCGCUGGUGUACCUGUUAUGAUGCCAAUUGUAAACGCAGGGUAGCCAAGUGCGGAGAGGAUAACCGCUGAAAGCAUCUAAGUGGGAAGCCCACCUCAAGAUGAGUAUUCUGGUGUAAGGUCACGGGAAGACGACCCGUAAAUAGGCACGAGGUGGAAGUGCAGAGAUGUAUGAAGCCGAAGUGUACUAAUAGACCGUCGGCUUGACC
rnacentral:rRNA from 1 species